rnacentral:lncRNA from 1 species
GAGACUUUCUCCUUCUUCCUCUUCAUAAUGCCACCUUUAGGGUUCCACCUUUUCUUUGAACCCUUCUUGCAUGUCUUCUUCUUGGAGAUCCCAUCCACAAGAAGAAAUGGAGCUUUAUCCUUCGUGAUGUGGCUCUCCACUAUUUUGAGCAUAUUCAAUAACUCAGAUAAAGAGGUAUUCAGUUUGUUCAUGUGAUAGUUCAUAACAAAUUGAG